UGGGAGCACCCUUUGGGUGUGACUGCGUACCUUUUGUAUAAUGGGUCAGCGACUUAUAUUCUGUAGCAAGGUUAACCGAAUAGGGGAGCCGGAGGGAAACCGAGUCUUAACCGGGCGUUAAGUUGCAGGGUAUAGACCCGAAACCCGGUGAUCUAGCCAUGGGCAGGUUGAAGGUUGGGUAACACUAACUGGAGGACCGAACCGACUAAUGUUGAAAAAUUAGCGGAUGACCUGUGGCUGGGGGUGAAAGGCCAAUCAAACCGGGAGAUAGCUGGUUCUCCCCGAAAGCUAUUUAGGUAGCGCCUCGUGAAUUCAUCUCCGGGGGUAGAGCACUGUUUCGGCUAGGGGGCCAUCCCGGCUUACCAACCCGAUGCAAACUGCGAAUACCGGAGAAUGUUAUCACGGGAGACACACGGCGGGUGCUAACGUCCGUCGUGAAGAGGGAAACAACCCAGACCGCCAGCUAAGGUCCCAAAGUCAUGGUUAAGUGGGAAACGAUGUGGGAAGGCCCAGACAGCCAGGAUGUUGGCUUAGAAGCAGCCAUCAUUUAAAGAAAGCGUAAUAGCUCACUGGUCGAGUCGGCCUGCGCGGAAGAUGUAACGGGGCUAAACCAUGCACCGAAGCUGCGGCAGCGACACUGUGUGUUGUUGGGUAGGGGAGCGU
rnacentral:rRNA from 1 species